GAUGAACGCUAGCGGCAGGCUUAACACAUGCAAGUCGAGGGGUAGAGGUUGCUUGCAACCUUGAGACCGGCGCACGGGUGCGUAACGCGUAUGCAACCUACCUUUUACAGAGGGAUAGCCCAGAGAAAUUUGGAUUAAUACCUCAUAGUAUAUAACCUUCGCAUGUUGGUUAUAUUAAAGUUCCAACGGUAAAAGAUGGGCAUGCGUCCUAUUAGCUAGAUGGUAAGGUAACGGCUUACCAUGGCAACGAUAGGUAGGGGUCCUGAGAGGGAGAUCCCCCACACUGGUACUGAGACACGGACCAGACUCCUACGGGAGGCAGCAGUGAGGAAUAUUGGACAAUGGGCGCAAGCCUGAUCCAGCCAUGCCGCGUGCAGGAAGAAGCAUCUAUGGUGUGUAAACUGCUUUUGUACAGGAAGAAACACCCCGACGUGUCGGGACUUGACGGUACUGUAAGAAUAAGGAUCGGCUAACUCCGUGCCAGCAGCCCCGUAACAC
rnacentral:rRNA from 1 species